rnacentral:rRNA from 1 species
UACGGAGGGGGCAAGCGUUGUUCGGAAUCACUGGGCGUAAAGGGCGUGUAGGCGGUCCGCUAAGUCUGAUGUGAAAGCCCGGGGCUCACCCCCGGAAGGGCAUUGGAAACUGGCGGACUCGAGUCUCGGAGAGGAAGGUGGAAUUCCUGGUGUAGCGGUGAAAUGCGUAGAUAUCAGGAGGAAUACCGGUGGCGAAGGCGGCCUUCUGGACGAUGACUGACGCUGAGACGCGAAAGCGUGGGGAGCAAACAGG